AUCUUUUUGUAGUUUGUAAGCGUGAUGACUGGGAGCUCAUGCGCAUGCAUGAGAUGUGCCUCCCUCAAACUUUGUUUUGACAUCAUCACAUUACCUGAUGCGAAA
rnacentral:ncRNA from 9 species